UCCUACGGGAGGCAGCAGUAGGGAAUCUUCCGCAAUGGGCGAAAGCCUGACGGAGCGAUGCCACGCGGAUGACGGAGGCCUUCGGGUCGUAAAAUCCUGUCAGGAGGGACGAUGGUCAAUUUUCGGAUUGAUUGACGGUACCUCCAGAGGAAGCUCCGGCCAACUACGUGCCAGCAGCCGCGGUAAUACGUAGGGAGCAAGCGUUGUUCGGAUUUACUGGGCGUAAAGAGUGCGUAGGUGGCUAUACAAGUCAAGGGUGAAAUCUCUACUUUCAAGGUAGAAACUGCCUUUGAUACUGUAUGGCUAGAGGACAAGAGGGGGAAAUGGAACUCUGGGAGUAGCGGUGAAAUGCGUAGAUAUCCAGAGGAACGCCAGUAGCGAAGGCGGUUUCCUGGCUUGUUUCUGACACUGAGGCACCAAAGCUAGGGGAGCGAUCGGGAUUAGAUACCCCGGUAGUCCAAGCCG
rnacentral:rRNA from 1 species